GGCACCUUUUUCAGGUUCUCUGUCCAGGCUUACAGGGCUUUAUCUUGCGUGAAUGGAAAAAAAAAAAAUACGGGGAAACAAAUAAUGAACAAAUAUUGGAAAAUAAGGAAGAUGAGCUGAACACGAAAGCAAGUCACGGGGUGGAGAAGGCCGUGGUGCUCGGGGAUGAGGAUGGGGGGAGAGAGUGCAGUCUGGACCAGAAGCACUGGAGACAUGAGUCAUGGCGAGCAAACUCCCAGGGGGCUUGUUGGUGCAGUCUAUAAAUGGAAAUAGCAGAAAAACAGCGGCUUCCCUCGCCCACCCAGGACUGGGUUAUGGCUUAUUAGAAUCUGAUGGCUUAUGACAGCGGGUGCUUUGUUUAGCCCCAUCCUGAACUGCACUAUCAUUCUUUUUUGUAGACAUGGCAAAUGCCAUGGAAAAAUAAAGGUGACUGACUGCACUAAUGGUCUGCAUGAUUUCGUCAGCGACGGUGUCAAGUCAACCUGGCGCGCCGCGGCGGCUGGGAGCGAGCCAGUGGCACCACACCACCUGCUCCACCUCACUCCCCCCCUCUCCCUCUGCACCUCUGAGUGCAAUCUGCCCACCUGCUACCAUGGUAAGCAGACACACCCUGCCCACCGUCCCUCCCUUCCCGCCUGCAGCUAUAGUGGAGCUAGUCUGCACAGGAGCACAGAGGCAGACUGAGCUCCAGCAUGCCUGGCCACCAUACCAGACGAGGGAGGGAGCUGCGUUGCUGUGGGCCUUUUGUUUAGCCGCCACCACUAAAAACUCCCCGCCAGGUCGUGUUUGCUCCUCUUCUGUUUUUUCUUCUUCGUUCACCUGUCGUCACACUGCUCUCUUUCAUCUGUAGGGCGUUUCCCAAAGAUCCUCCCUCAAGGCAGUGAAAACAUUAUCUCAGUGGAGUAAAAGCGAGAGGUAAAGUGACAGAGACAGUUUAAAUUGCCUUGCUUUCAAAAACAACCCAAGGACUAUUUGGCUUCUUUUGUGGGGCACAGUAGAGUUUUCAGGUUGGAUCAAGAUGAAUAGAAGGGGGAUGCAAGUGAGGGGCCGUGGCUCCCUACUGAAGAGGACCCCUGUGUUUGUUGUUGGUGUGGUUGUUUUGUUCAUAAUACUGUGUGUUUAUCUAGAGCUGAUGCUGACGUUUCCUUGGUGACUGAUAUUAGACUGUUGUGCUGUUUCAUCAGAAAAUGAAUAAAUGUCUGAAGCUCUUUGCCAAGUU